CAAAAUGGCCGCGUGGUGGUUCCCUCGAAGAGCCAUGUAAGCGACGCCGCGAUGGUUUCCUUCUCCUAUUGGGCCGCAGCAGCAGCCGAGGUGACAUCCUGUGUUGAAGCAUGGAACUGUGAUGUUGAAAGCCCUUUGCCAAGUAGGAAGUUCCUCGAGGUUUUGUGGAAGAAGUCUUGCUCGGGAUGAACAAUACCGGCGCUGAACCCAAUCUGGAAAGGGCCCGCCGAGUUUCUACAGCAGUUCGAUUAUAUUAUCAGCACAUCGACAAUGGCUUCUGGUUUGAACCCACGUAGUGUGGCAUUUUGUCAUGCAAUUGAGGGGCUAGGAAAAGCUAGCCGGAUUCCAGAACCUACAAUUUGAUGUUCUCUAACUUCAUAUCGAUUGGAGAUUUAGAUGUAUGACACAGAUAGCGAUACUUGAUACCGAAUUGAUUAGUGUGUUUGGUGUUCCUCAAAAUUAGAAGAGUGGCAGAUGCACUUGAAUUAACUGAUGAUAUGCUUGGCCGAGGAGUUUUUCCCAACUUUGGGAUGAUUAAUCUUAGUUAAGACUACAUGCAGACUUACCUGAAAGUCAAAAGCAUACCUCUGAAUGCUAAUUCACAAAGCUAUUGGCAUCCCCGAGGUUGGUGUGUUUAACCAAUCUGUUUUGUGGUUGAUAUGCACAAUUCUUUUAUGAUGGCCUUAAACUUGAAUGGACUUUUAAAUGGGGAGGUUCGCAUCAAUCUGAUGCAGUCUUCAUUAUUACCCAAAGAAAACUAGAUUAGGUAUUGGUUCAAUGGAGGUAAGCCAGGAUGUAAACCAACGAUUCUAGCAUCCAACAAAAACAGGUUGAUACUUUAGCUGAGGCUCUGUUCUCCUGAUCAUAUGUGGAUCAGCAGUCAACCAAAUCAAUUAAGUUAUUUCUUGACAUUGUACAUUUUACAGCCUGAUUGGAUCCAAAUCAACUCUAAUCAGUUCCAAAGUUGACCAUUUUAGAACAUCAUUUAGUCUUAUAUGCUGUUGUAGCUUGCCACAUCUACAGACAAUUUCAUGGACUGUUCAUUUAUAAGGAAUGCAAGGGUAUAAAUGGUAAAUAUAGAGUUGUCUGUGGUUGCAUCUUAGGUCCUUUGUGUGGCUUUUAACAGAGGAUUUAAAAACUACCUUAGUAUUCCUUUUUGGAGGCUUGGUCCAUGUGUUUCUGGUCUCGGAUAUUCCUUUCUAGUAUUCGUUUGUAAAGAAUCUAUGUGGUUGAGAUUAAACUAUUGAAAUAAACAUAUAGAGUUAUUAGGAAAGAUAGAGAAAAAAAAGUUCUCAUAUGUCAACAAUUAGAUGUAGCUCUUAUAGAGGAUAAAAUGCGGAAUUGUUUAAGGUUGUGUGGACAUAUGCUAAAGAGAUAUAUAAAUGCUAUAUUUAGAACAAGUGAGACAAUUAGAAUUAGUGUUGCAAGGAGAGGUAGAGAAUGACUUGAGAAAUCUUUUUUAGGAACUAUAUAUUUUUAUUUCAAACAAGAAGAUCAAAAUAUCCAUAUAGACGGCCCCAAAUAGUUGGGACAUUAUGACUUAAUAUUAUUGUUGUUAUAAUCAUGAUAACUUAUGUUUAUUUUUUCUUAUAUUCUACAAAUUUCUCUGUGUGGAUAUUAAAUUUACUGCCUAUGAUUUCUUUCUUCCAAUCAGUUGUUGCCUUGGUCAUGGCUAAGAGGGUAUACAAGGCCAAAUAAUCUAUCCAGACUAUCUUUCCCAUGCUGCUUAUCUUUCAAGAUGUUACUUACAACGAUUUGAGAAAUAAAUUUGCUAUGAUAACGAACAAAUUUUCAUAGAUAUAUCACUUCACUGGGUCCUCUGUGUGUUCCUAACCUGUAUUUUUGCUUGCGUUUGAUAGUCUAUUCACCAGUAUCCUUUAUUCCUCGAUCAAGAUAAUGUUUGGCUUAUAUCUUGAAUGGAUGAUUAUGGUCAGCCAUGUAACAAUCUCAAUUUCCUUGGCCGCUAUCUGCAGAGUCAUGAUAGAUAGCCUUGGCUUCCAGG